rnacentral:rRNA from 1 species
GAGUUUGAUCAUGGCUCGGGACGAACGCUGGCGGCGUGCUUAACACAUGCAAGUCGAACGGUAACGCGGGGGCAACCCUGGCGACGAGUGGCGGACGGGUGAGUAAUACGUAGGAAUCUGCCCAUUUGUGGGGGAUAACCCGGCGAAAGCCGGGCUAAUACCGCAUACGCUCUACGGAGGAAAGCGGGGGAUCGUAAGACCUCGCGCUAAUGGAUGAGCCUACGUCGGAUUAGCUAGUUGGUAGGGUAAUGGCCUACCAAGGCGACGAUCCGUAGCUGGUCUGAGAGGACGAUCAGCCACACUGGGACUGAGACACGGCCCAGACUCCUACGGGAGGCAGCAGUGGGGAAUAUUGGACAAUGGGGGCAACCCUGAUCCAGCAAUGCCGCGUGUGUGAAGAAGGCCUGCGGGUUGUAAAGCACUUUCAGAGGGAAGAAAAAUCGAAGCUAACACCUUCGAUCUUGACGUUACCCUUAGAAGAAG